rnacentral:rRNA from 1 species
UACGUAGGGCGCAAGCGUUGUCCGGAAUUAUUGGGCGUAAAGAGCUCGUAGGCGGCUUGUCACGUCGAUUGUGAAAGCCCGAGGCUUAACCUCGGGUCUGCAGUCGAUACGGGCUAGCUAGAGUGUGGUAGGGGAGAUCGGAAUUCCUGGUGUAGCGGUGAAAUGCGCAGAUAUCAGGAGGAACACCGGUGGCGAAGGCGGUCUCUGGGCAUUACCUGACGCUGAGGAGCGAAAGC